CCCCAUCCUUUUUAGGGCAACCUGCCUCAUAGAGGGGAAUUAGCCUCCCCGAAAGGGAGAUUAAUACCGCAUAAGAUUGUAGUUCCGCAUGGAACAGCAAUUAAAGGAGCAAUCCGCUAUGAGAUGGGCCCGCGGCGCAUUAGCUAGUUGGUGAGGUAACGGCUCACCAAGGCGACGAUGCGUAGCCGACCUGAGAGGGUGAUCGGCCACAUUGGGACUGAGACACGGCCCAGACUCCUACGGGAGGCAGCAGUGGGGAAUAUUGCACAAUGGGGGAAACCCUGAUGCAGCAACGCCGCGUGAGUGAUGACGGCCUUCGGGUUGUAAAGCUCUGUCUUCAGGGACGAUAAUGACGGUACCUGAGGAGGAAGCCACGGCUAACUACGUGCCAGCAGCCGCGGUAAUACGUAGGUGGCGAGCGUUGUCCGGAUUUACUGGGCGUAAAGGGAGCGUAGGCGGACUUUUAAGUGAGAUGUGAAAUACCCGGGCUUAACUUGGGUGCUGCAUUACAAACUGGAAGUCUAGAGUGCAGGAGAGGAGAAUGGAAAUUCCUAGUGUAGCGGUGAAAUGCGUAGAGAUUAGGAAGAACACCAGUGGCGAAGGCGAUUCUCUGGACUGUACUGACGCUGAGGCUCGAAAGCGUGGGGAGCAACCAGGAUUAGAUACCCUGUAGUUCCACGCCGUAAACCGAUGAUUACUAAGUGUAGAGGGUUG
rnacentral:rRNA from 1 species